AUGAACGCUGACAGAAUGCUUAACACCUGCAAGUCUUUGGCGAAGCUGUGCUUGCACAGCCUAGCCAAGGCGGACGGGUGAGUAACGCGUAAGGAACUUGCCCUGCAGUCAGGGAUAACAGACGGAAACGACUGAUAAGACCUGGUAAAGUCAGGCGGACUCAUGUCCAGCCUGAUGAAAAGAGAUGCUGCAGGAGAGCCUUGCGUCCUAUUAGCUUGUUGGUGGGGUAACGGCCCACCAAGGCGAUGAUAGGUAGCCGGCCUGAGAGGGUGGACGGCCACAAGGGGACUGAGAUACGGCCCUUACUCCUACGGGAGGCAGCAGUGGGGAAUAUUGGACAAUGGGGGCAACCCUGAUCCAGCAAUUCUGUGUGCACGAUGAAGGUUUUCGGAUUGUAAAGUGCUUUCAGCAGGGAAGAAAAAAAUGACGGUACCUGCAGAAGAAGCGACGGCUAAAUACGUG
rnacentral:rRNA from 1 species